rnacentral:rRNA from 1 species
UACCCGCAGCACAAGUGGUGGUCAUUAUUAUUGGGCCUAAAGCGUCCGUAGCUGGCCUGUUAGAUGCCUGGGUAAAUCGAUGCGCUCAACGCAUCGAACUCCGGGUAGACCGGCAGGCUUGGGACCGGGAGAGGCGUGAGCUACUCGGGGGGUAGGGGUAAAAUCCUGUAAUCCUCCGGGGAGGACCAGUGGCGAAGGCGUCACGCUAGAACGGCUCAGACAGUGAGGGACGAAGCCCUGGGGCGCAAACCGG